rnacentral:tRNA from 2 species
GCUUGGAUGGCGGAACUGGCAGACGCACGGGACUUAAAAUCUCGUGUCCUUCGGGACGUGCGGGUUCAAGCCCCGCUCCAAGCA